GAUCGUGGAGCAGCAAGAAGCCAAGAAACUCUCAAUUGUCGAUCGGCGUACUAGGAACGCGAGCGCGCAGCAGCAGACGCUGGAUCGGGAAGCUGCGGAGCUGCGGCGGGACCUUCAGCAGGAGCGCGAGGAGAACGAAGCCCACGUCAGCGAGCUCGAGGAGCAGCUGCGUAGCAACCGCAACCUCCUCAUCCGCAAGCAGCAGCAAGUGACGGAGUAC